rnacentral:lncRNA from 1 species
UGUUCUUUUUUCCAUUAUUGAACUGGCGUGCAAUAAUAGAAUCUCUCCAGAAAUUCCGACUUAUCUACAUUGUACUUCGACGCUAUUUGAAUAUGAAUAUCUCGAGAAGGUAAGUAUUACUUCUUUUCUUGGUCUGUGAUUAAAAUUGAAUUUCAGCAAACGAAAGACAAAAUGAAAAAUCAACAGUCAUUGGGCGAAUUGGAAGCAAUAAUCAGUAAAGUGAUUAAUUUUAGAAUUUUAUUGUUGCAAAAUGUAUUAGCAGACGUGGAUUUAAAUCGAAAAUCGAGACAUUGGACGAUUCGAAAUGACUUUAGGUAUAUGUAAUUAAUCUAUUUAGAAUAUCUCAAUAUUAAUCAUAUUUUUUAUGUUUUAGAAAGUGAGGGACGAAAUUAAAAUCAGUCGAUGUUGGACAUAUUGGCGAGGGUUGCAAUCGAAAAUCAACGGACGAUGGAAAAUGCAAAAUUUGCUUAAGUAAAUUCAGACGAUUUUAAAUUUAGAAUUUUCAUUAAUAAAAAUCAAUUCAGAGAUCCAGUUAUUUCUUUAAACAUAUUGUAUGAAAAUUAGAGUUUAAUAUACGUAGAAGUUACAUUCCGGUAUCUGUAAUUGGUGUUUCAUGUUUGAAUAUCAAUAGGCCAUAGGGGAUACAUAAAGGAGACUAUCUCUUUAUUUUUUUUCCAUAAAUAAUUUAACUGAAAACUUGACGGUAUUAAAAGUCAAAAAACAGGAAAAUGAAUAUUAUCACUUAUAGAAUUGUAACAUUUAAAUCGGACAACAUUAAUAACAUAAAUUCAUGAUAUAAGAAAAUCUUUCAGAAAUAAUAUUGAGCGAUUUCCUCAAAUCAGUUUCUUCUCUGGAAUAAAUAGAAUAACGAAUAAGCAUUUAUAUGUGACUAGAAUAUCAUCUGGUUUGUACUGCUUCAAGAUGGAAUUUCUUUUGACAUUUCUUUGUGGUAAUACAAGAAGGAAGAAUCGGGAUAAGUAAUUUCUAAUAUCUUUAAUAUGAUAGUCUAAUUCUUUUGCAAAAUUUAAUAAGUAUAUAAGCUUAGAUUGUAUAGUAUUUAACAUUAUAAUUUGACAAAUCAGUAUACUUCCUACAUUCUUUUUUUUUAAAUAAUAUUUCUCAAGUUAUUUUUUUCGGAAAGAACUUUUACAGAAUGGAUAUAUUUUUAUACUAUAACUUAUCAAAUGAACAGUUAAUAUAAUCAAUGCAAUAUCCACAAACAGAGAAAACUAAAACACGCCGAUAAUGCUGACAUAUAACUUGCUCGUUUUAUAUAUAGGAUAUGCUAUGUUGUAUUUAAAAUACUCGGAUUAGUAUCAACCUUAAAAGAUAAAUUUAUUAAAUGAGACAACGAUUCUAUUACGAAUUUGCAAAUAUUUUAAAUUUUUUACUGUUAUUCCAUCAUAACCUAUAACAAAAGCAAUUUGAAAUUCAUUACGUUGCAUAAUAGUAGAAAAAUAUUCAUGCAUAAUGUCAAUCAUUACUAAAAUUCUAGAUAAAAAUUCUAUUUGAAUCUAUUUUUGUACCUUGUGUCUCCAAUUCCUGUUUUUAUAAUUAUGCCUAUUUCUGAAUGUAAUAAUUUCUAAAUAAAUCAACGAUGCCUACCUAAGGCUCUCUGGGAUUUCCUGCAUUAAUACUUAAUUCAAAAAUCCAGAUGAAACUGAUAUUCUGAACUAAAAGCAGUGUUGCCGCAAUGAAAUUUCAAAACGUACUGAAGCGUCUUCAAAAAAUGUACUAUUUUCCUUCAAAAUGUACUAGUUUUAUGAAUACUUUGUUU